rnacentral:rRNA from 1 species
UUCCAGACUCCUACGGGAGGCAGCAGUGGGGAAUAUUGCACAAUGGGGGGAACCCUGAUGCAGCGACGCCGCGUGAGUGAAGAAGUAUUUCGGUAUGUAAAGCUCUAUCAGCAGGGAAGAAAAUGACGGUACCUGACUAAGAAGCCCCGGCUAACUACGUGCCAGCAGCCGCGGUAAUACGUAGGGGGCAAGCGUUAUCCGGAUUUACUGGGUGUAAAGGGAGCGUAGACGGCAGAGCAAGUCUGAAGUGAAAGCCCGUGGCCCAACUGCGGGACUGCUUUGGAAACUGCCCGGCUAGGGUGCUGGAGAGGUAAGCGGAAUUCCUAGUGUAGCGGUGAAAUGCGUAGAUAUUAGGAGGAACACCAGUGGCGAAGGCGGCUUACUGGACAGUAACUGACGUUGAGGCUCGAAAGCGUGGGGAGCAAACAGGAUUAGAUACCCGAGUA